ACGAACGCUGGCGGCGUGCUUAACACAUGCAAGUCGAACGGAAAGGCCCUUUCGGGGGUACUCGAGUGGCGAACGGGUGAGUAACACGUGGGUGAUCUGCCCUGCACUUUGGGAUAAGCCUGGGAAACUGGGUCUAAUACCGAAUACACCUCACUGGCUGCAUGGUCUGGUGGGGGAAAGCUUUUGCGGUGUGGGAUGGGCCCGCGGCCUAUCAGCUUGUUGGUGGGGUGAUGGCCUACCAAGGCGACGACGGGUAGCCG
rnacentral:rRNA from 1 species